CGGCACAACAAUGAAUCAGUGUUAUUCUAAUGUCAUUACUACUACAUCGCCAGGUAGCUCUGACGUCACGUGAAAACUACUGCUUGUUAUCUGGGUUUCCUCGGAAAAUCUGAAACGGAACUACAAACACGCUGUAUAACCGCCAGUGUUACCUUGAAAACCAGGAAGUUGAACUUGGCGGCAUCGCGGCUGUUGUUGUAGUUGACAGUAGGCGAUGCAUCGGGCACUAGGAUGGUGACCGAGUGGUUUUUCUUCACCAGCUCUUCUAUGAUGGUCCGCAUGUUCAACCAAUGGCUGAACUCUCCCGGAAAAACCAGAGCAUGGCCUCCGUGUACUGGAGCGACAGAAUGAA